ensembl:snRNA U6 U6 spliceosomal RNA
GCGCUCGCUUUGGCAGCACAUAUACUAAGAUUGGAGUGAUACAGAGAAGAUCAGCGUGGCCCCUGUGCAAGGGUGACAAAUUCGUGAAGCGUUCUAUAUUAAA